rnacentral:rRNA from 1 species
UACGGGGGGGGCAAGCGUUGUUCGGAAUUACUGGGCGUAAAGGGCUCGUAGGCGGCCAACUAAGUCAGACGUGAAAUCCCUCGGCUUAACCGGGGAACUGCAUCUGAUACUGGAUGGCUUGAGUUCGGGAGAGGGAUGCGGAAUUCCAGGUGUAGCGGUGAAAUUCGUAGAUAUCAGGAGGAACACCGGCGGCGAAGGCGGCUUCCUGGCCCAUUACUGACGUUCAGGUACGAAAGCGUGGGUAGCAAACAGG